AACCUUGAGUGGUUGGAAAAUUUGGGACCUCAUAUUUUUUUUUUCUGGUCAUCGCUCCCACUUCCCACAAAUUCUCUUCAAAUCCUACUUCUUUUCCUCAACACUUAUUCAAACAUUUCACUUUGUACCCACCCAUUUAUUCAUCCAAGUUCAUAAAACUUCAUUUUUAGUCUUUAAUCUCCAUUUUUCAUUGAUACCCACAAAAUCUUUCUUUCUAUUUUCGUCUGGGAAUCUCUUGUUUCUCAUUCAAGAUUCUUGUUUCAUUCUGAUUUGGGUAAAAAAGCUGCAUUUUUUUUUCACAUAAAGAAGCUUAUUUUUGAAGGAUGGUAGGGGGUAUAUCUGUGGUGGGUAGGUCGGUUGUGGAUUCACAUACGUCGCCAUGUUUGUGUUUGGAUUCUUUCACAUCAAAAACUCAUAUGAAUCAAACAAAAAGUGAGCAUAAAUUUCGUCCUGGUUCAUUGGAAUUAAGAAGUUCUUUUAUUCACUCUAAGUAUUUAGCCAAAACACCUUCGUGCAAGAAGCAAAGAAAAGCUAAAGGUCUUGUGAUUGUUAAUGAACUUGGUGGACAAUAUGAAGAUAGUUUUCGUGAUGUUCAAGCACAAUUAUUUAAUCUAUUCACUUACAAAGCAGUGAGGACUGUUAUGAACCAACUUUAUGAGAUGAACCCAACAGAAUAUCGUUGGUUUUACGAUUUUGUUGUGUUGAACAAACCGAGUGAUGGAAAGCGGUUUCUUCGCGUCCUCCAAAAGGAGAAACAUGAACUAGCCGAAAGAGUAAUGGUGACUCGGCUUCACCUCUACGGAAAAUGGAUAAAGAAAGUGGAUCAUGGGGAAAUGUACAAAAAUUUAUCAGAUCAGAAUUUGGAGUUGAUGCGUGAACGACUCAUGGAGACAGUGAUCUGGCCGUCCGAUGAUGCAAAUUGGGACCAAUAUUGAUGAAGACAUUGAUCUAUUAUCAUUGUUGUUGACUAGGUUAUUUAUGGAAGCGGUCUCGUUACAUUUGCGUCGAGAGGUUCUCAGGAGUCUGUGGCAAGGCAAAGGCGUGAUCGUACCGUUCCUCGCGUUGGCGUUUUAUGAUAUGAACCUGGGAAAAUACUCUGUUAAAUAAUGUAUUGAAAACCUUUUUG